rnacentral:rRNA from 1 species
UCCCCCUACGGGACGCAGCAGUGGGGAAUAUUGGUCAAUGGGCGGAAGCCUGAACCAGCCAAGUCGCGUGAGGGAAUAAGGCCCUACGGGUCGUAAACCUCUUUUGCCGGGGAGCAAGGGCGGGGACGUGUCCCGGCCCGGAGAGUACCCGGAGAAAAAGCAUCGGCUAACUCCGUGCCAGCAGCCGCGUUAAUACGGAGGAUGCGAGCGUUAUCCGGAUUUAUUGGGUUUAAAGGGUGCGUAGGCGGGCUUUUAAGUCAGCGGCAAACAUUCGGGGCUCAACCCCGUCCGGUCGUUGAAACUGG